CUACCCGGGUAUCUAAUCCUGUUUGCUACCCACGCUUUCGAGCCUCAGCGUCAAUGUUGGCCCAGAAGACUGCCUUCGCCAUUGGUGUUCCUCCACAUAUCUACGCAUUUCACCGCUACACGUGGAAUUCCGUCUUCCUCUACCACAUUCUAGUUACGCAGUUUCGAAUGCAAUUCCCAGGUUAAGCCCGGGGCUUUCACACCCGACACACGCAACCGCCUGCACUCGCUUUACGCCCAGUAAUUCCGAUUAACGCUUGCACCCUCCGUAUUACCGCGGCUGCUGGCAC
rnacentral:rRNA from 1 species